rnacentral:rRNA from 1 species
AUUGAACGCUGGCGGCAGGCCUAACACAUGCAAGUCGAGCGGAGCGGCGGACGGGGAGUAAUGCCUAGGAAUUUGGCUGGUAGCGGGGGAUAACGUCCGGCAACGGGCGCCAAUACCGCAUACCAUUAGCUGAGCCUUGGUCGGAUUAGCUAGUUGGUGGGGUAAAGGCCUACCAAGGCGACGAGCCGCAACUGGUCUGAGAGGAUGAUCAGUCACACUGGAACUGAGACACGGUCCAGACUCCUACGGGAGGCAGCAGUGGGGAAUAUUGGACAAUGGGCGAAAGCCUGAUGCAGCCAUGCCGCGUGUGUGAAGAAGGUCUUCGGAUUGUAAAGCACUUUAAGUUGGGAGGCGUUACCAACAGAAUAAGCACCGGCUAACUUCGUGCCAGCAGCCGCGGUAAUUC